CAGAGCUCCUGAAGCUUUUCCUGAGUGAAAGCUUUAAAAAAGCUCCAUUCUAAAUUACAUCACACGAGCUGUUCUCUUCAGACUGACAGAACAAAAGCAGGAGGGGGGGGGGAAAUGCCAAAAGUACCAUCUGAAUGACUUGAGUUGCACAGGAUGAUUUACCUCCUCAUGCUUUAUCAGAGCAGGGAAACAUCUUGACCUUGCCUACCAAAGCCUCAUCAGUGUCCUCUAAAUAGCAGAGAAAGUUUGCAUUGUGUGUGUUUCCAGUACAAACAGAAUCACAGAAUGGUUUGGGUUGGAGGGGACCUUAAGUAUCAUACUAUUCCCAGCCUCCUGCCAUGGGCAGGGACACCUUCCCCCAGCUGAGGGUUCUCAGAGCUCCAUCAGCCUGGUCUUGAACAUUUCCAGGGAUGGGGCAUUCACAACUUCUCUGCAUAACCAGUACCAGUGUCUUGCUGUCUUCAUAGUAAAACAUCUCUUCCUAAUAUCAAGUCUAAACCUACUCUUCAGAUUUAAACCAUUCCCCCUUAUCUAUCACUUCAUGCUUUUGUCAAAAGCCCACUCCCAGCUCUUUUGGAGGUCCUCAUGAGGUACUGAAUCCAUCAGGUGUGGGCUUUUGAUGGCAACAAUGGGGUCUUGGGUGUCCAUUCCUAGUGGGGCCAUGGUGCUUUCUAAAAUUUUUGGACGAUGUGGUUUCUAACACAGCCAGCUCGUUGCUACUGGAAGAGCCCAGCCUGUGGGUGCUGCCCAGCCUGGUGUACUCGUCCUUUAAUCAGCAGCACCCCAAUUAAUGGUCAUGGUGAGCACUGCUGAGGGCCACUGCCAAAAUCUGAAAGGUCUCUUGGGUUGGCUCCAUCUGGGAUGCUCCAAAUGACAUUUUCAGAAGUAAUUGGAGCAGAUAAGCAUUACCCACUUCUGGAGUGGCUGGGUAGAAAGCAGAUAAAUUGGCAUAUCUCCCCAUUCUAAAGGCUUUCAGAUGGUGUUAAUUGGUAUGAGAAGCCUCAGUUAGGAAAACAUCCUCAGCUGGGAGGGGAGAGGGCCACAGGCCUUGCAUCUUCUUUAGCAGAUAAAUAGAGGAAAGAGGGCAAACAACAUCAUGGCAGCUCUCCAGGGAAUGCAGCAAUUUUCACACAGUUGCUACAACUUGUCUUACCCAAAAGGGCAGAGACUGCUUGGGGAUCCUGAUUCACUGAUGCAGCAUUGAACCCUGAUUUUUGAGACCAGGCUGUGGGAAGUUUUGGUGAAGACAGGAAUAGUCUGCUCCUGUGUUGGGAUGUACCAUGAAGAAAAGUGACCCAGUCUCACCCAAUGGGACUAACACUGGAAUAAGAUGAGGCCCUGGCUGGACCAAAUUCAGCAGCAGUGGCUGGAGACACAACCCCACAUGUGCAGGUCGGCGCUGAGUGCAGGCAUAAAUGUAUCUGCAUGCUGAGGUGCAGCAAGUGGCAGAAACAUCUCCAGAACACCUAAAAAAUCUGUGCUUCCAAGAGGGGAUGUGCUAUCUGACCCAUAGGAAGCUCUCUGCACUCAAGGAACCAGCCACCAGGAUUUUUGGACUAUUUUACAUGGUCCACAAGAGGGAACUCUGCCUUGGGCAGAAGUACAUCAUUUUCACGUGAGUGGCUGUGGAGUCCAUCUUGUUGUUCUCAUUGUUUCAUCUGCUCUUUUUACAACCCUGGAUUUGGGAAUGCUGACAUAACUAAGGUUCACACCAAGGCCUCCUGUUUGAAAAAUGUAUGUGUGCUCCUGAACCUAAUGUAUAUGCAUAUUCAGUGUGACUGCAUAUGGAAAUGGAGCAUCCAUGCCAAGAGUUUUCCAGCCAAGAGGCUUUUUGCAUGUCUCCAGGUCUGCCUUAGAAAGGCACCGGAAGAAAGGAAGGAAAAUGAGGUUAUCCCAUAAAAUAAUCUACUACUAUUUGGCUUUGCUGAAUGGCACCACUUGUCCACAGAAGUGCUCUGAACCUCAAACUUAGAGCCUCAAUGAUGCACCUGGAGCUCUGCAUGUGGAAUCCAGCAAGGUUCCUCGAGGCUCGCACCAUCUUCUCACGUAGGUCUGUGAGCAGUGCUCCCUCCAGAGCUGAAGGCAGAUGGUCGCUGGGGAGCCCGGUGCCAGGUCUGGGUGACAGGAGCGGAAAGGCAAGGACAGCCACAGCCGGAUGAGACACUUCUCUUCCUCUCUGGAUGCUGCACGCUGAAAACGCCAGAGACACGUCAGCCAGAGAUGGGGCUGGGGGCCGGAGCUGCGUCAGAAGCAGCCCUGCUCCUGCGGGGGUGGAAGAGGAGCCCUGACUCCCGAGGAAGGUCAAGGCCGGCCGGCAAACAACCCGGGCAAGAAACCCCCAGAUGGAUAAACAAUCCAGACAUCUGGUGAGAUCCCGGCAUUGCUGCAAUCAGGGAGGUUUUGGCACCGGCUUUGACACUGCCAGGAUUUCCCUUGCAAUUAGCAGCGUGCAGCCUGUCUGGGGAGGAUGUUCCCUCCGGAAAGCUGCUGGGACCAGGCUGAAAAUCGAGCUUAAUCUCUGUGAAGCAAAGAAUAACACCCAGUUAGUCUCUGGCUCCCCAAAUAUCAGAAAAUUAUUAACUGGAACUCAACAAAUAUUAGAUGCUACUGAUAACUAACUACUAAUAACUAAGUGGCUUGGUUGCUACCAAGAUUUCUUAAGGGGCUCACAGUGGGGCCACAAGGAGAGCAGUGGAACAGACUUGGAGCAGCCAUGAGAAGGGAUUCAGUAUGGCAAAGGCAGCAUAAACCUCAGUGCAUGUGGAAGUGUCUGCAUCCCCUUCACAGCAUCAGAAAGUAAGGAGGUGUUUAUAAACAAUGCAAAGUUCUGGGCUGAAGAAGACAGAGGAGAGGAUAAUCUAAAGGCUUUUUGAUAGCUGCUGCAAGCCUGUCUUUUAUCUCUUCUAUUCAGCCUGAGAAUAACGGCUGAAAUCUAACAUCUGGUGUAACUGUACAAACCUGACCUUAGGUCACAAUUGAACCUCUCUCAUUCCAACCCCUCUGCCACGGGCAGGGACACUUUCCACUAGACCAGGCUGAUCCAAGCCCCACCUGACCAGGCUUUGAACACUUCAGGAUGGAGCAGCCACAGCUUCUCUGGGCAAUCUGCGCCAAGUUCUCACCACCCUCACAGCCUACAGCUAAAAAGCUUCACCCCAAAAGCUUCGUUGCCCAAAAGAAGCUGUGCUGCAAACCCACCUCAAAAGGCCCAGAACACCUGGUUUCAGGCACAACAGGAAGAUCAGAACAUACCUUAUCAUAAAUAUGCAUACGCGACGCAGGAGCCCGCCACCUUCUUGGAGUGAUGCCAUAAUUGACGGAACAAAGUACAACAAGACUUCACAUCACUGGUGGAUCAGAAGAACAGAGACAGCAGAGCUGAGAUUGUGUUGUGGCUGGAGCAUGACAUUACAUCCAUCCCAUGGUACCAAGAGAACUUGGCUGCAUUUGGCUGAAGUUCUGUGAGCACCACUCCUGCAGCACCAUCCUGCUCUCAAGUCACUGCAUAUUUAAAAGCUCAUCUGAGGUAUGAGUCACUUCCAUCAAAAGAGGAGGAUGCCUUGAUCUGUGUGCGAGCGAGCUGUGGAACAGCAGCUGUUGGAGCAAAUACAAACAUCCAUGCCAAGGAUUGUAAGGAUGUAGUUUAUCUAAUAUGUAAAAAAACCACCUGCUGCAAAUGAAAAAUUACACCCACAACCACCUGAAUAAGAUAAGCAAAUGAUGGGGGAAAUGAAGAGACAGGUUUAUUAUUAAUGUAAGUUGGAACUUUUGAACCAAACAUCUCUUUUUGCAAUGGAACAGUAGGAUGCACAAGGAAAUAGCACUCCCUGCCCCAGACCUGCUCAGCAGAAUUUAUUUUGCCUAAGUGAUUUUCUUUUCUUUGCUAAGUCUGGUAGAGAUGAAAACACUAACCCAAAGAAGAUAAUUAAAAGCUAAAUGAAACCACAUACAGCUGUGCUACUACAUGGCUAAUGAACAUGCAAAUAUAUACAUAUGACAAGGACAUAAUGCGGGCUGGCUGCCUUGAGUGGUUAGUGCAGAUUUCCAAGAGCUGGAAAUGCUAUUGAUUAUAACUGAGCUAAACUUCCUGACUCCAGACUUCAAAGAUCAGCCUCAAUAUAAUCAUCAGGCAGCAUAUGGGAGCGUGGCUGCAAGGAGCUGAUGAAUAAUGGCUCGGGGGACUGAAUGUUUGCACGUAGGGUGGGAGAUGUCCUGGAGAUGUCCUCUGGGCUGUGGGGUGCAGGCUCCUUGGCAGCCAGGACCAGCACCACAGAAUCCUCGUCAGCAUCUUGGCAUACCCGGUCCUGCUGACAAUUAGGGUUUUGGAGUUAUGGGUUUUAGCUGGGAUAUUUAUUUUUCCUUUCCCACUUCACUUGGCAAGAGGCUGAUAUGUGGUGGAGACAUUUUUGGGAGGACCAGGGAGGGAGGUAACAGAUACAAGGCAAAGCUUCUGGGGUCCUAUAAACAGGAGCACGAGCAGCAUGGAAAGGCUCUCUCUCCUCUGAGGGUCUGCUGCUACAUCCACAUGGAAGAAAAAUCUGAUUUCCCUUAUUAAUUAAAAGCCACCCAGCUGAGAGUAACUCCCCAGCCCACUCAGAGAUGAGAGAAGGAAGUCAGGGCUCAGCCCUGCACCAGGUUCUUCCACAGAAGGGACCUGGUUCCACUGCCACCUUGUGCCCCCUUCACUGGCCACAGUACCACUGUAAUAUCCACUGGAAAUACCACAGAGAAAAACUCUCUCCUCCUCCAUGACGACCACAGAAAGGCCACACAGACUUGGGCAUGGCCAGGAGAGAAGCGUGGAGGGAUGGAGCACAGCCUGAGAUGUGGAUGGAGAUGACUGAUCCACCAGGAUGGCUGAGAGAAGGGGCACCUACCAAAAAAAGAAACCAAAGAAACCAAAUUUGUGCAGAACACAAUGGUUAGUGCAUAAAAAUUAAUCAAGUACUACAAUGACUUGCUUUAUUCAUAAUACUUAAUGGUCAUGUAAUAGGAGUUUUUAUUCAGCAGUUAAAGUUCAUAAGUGCAGGUUUUACAUGUAGAAAGGUAUUAUGCUGAUAGUUUAAUUACACACCUUUCUGCACACCAAAGGAAAUGGGUUAUGCGGGUUUUAUAAUUAAAGACGGACUUCUGAGGGGAAAUGAACUUUGCAGUUAGCAACAUAAUAUUUGAUUUUUAUCAGAUGUUUUUGUUUUGAAUUUGCCAGCACUUGGUGGUGUAAACAGGUGAGAGUGCUCCAGACUGCAUGAGGUGUCAGGAGAAGCUUUGAAAAUGCAGCAGAAAGUAGCCAUAUUUAAAAAUAGCCAGUGUGAGCAUGAGGUAUAAACAUCAUGUGUUUGGAAAGCUCUCCAGACUCUGCCCAUGCAAUUAUGCACACUGCAAGUCUGUCCAGGACGUCUAGGAAACAGGGGAAAAAACCCAACCCAACAAGUAAGUGAAAAAUAAACCCCACUGCUUGCCAAAAUAAUAAAAAACUUCACUUUUUAUUUCUCUGAUUUUUGUUUUAAAUUCAUUUCAUGGCCAGUGAAUACAAUUUUCCCCUCCUGCCUGCCUACAGAGGCAGCAAAGCCAAAAAUGUGAUGGAUGUUUGUGUGUGCACGUUUGCUGUUGGAAUACACAGGACCACUCUCAAUAUUAAAGGCAAAGAGUGGCUUGAGCCACUGCCAGGUCACAGCCAGCUCCUGCCAUUUCCUAAUAACCAUGUGGAAGUCUGUACUCAACAAGGUGGGGCUGGGGAGGUCUGCAGUGCCUGGGAUUCCCCCUUUUUAAGUUUUAGGAGGGUUUAUUUAGCAUAACCUUAUUCCUAUAUACAUAUUAAAGCACAUUAAAAGUAUAUGUGGGAAUAUAUAUAUAUAU